UACCCGCAGCACAAGUGGUGGUCAUUAUUAUUGGGCCUAAAGCGUCCGUAGCUGGCCUGUUAGAUGCCUGGGUAAAUCGAUGCGCUCAACGCAUCGAACUCCGGGUAGACCGGCAGGCUCGAGACCGGGAGAGGCGUGAGCUACUCGGGGGGUAGGGGUAAAAUCCUGUAAUCCUCCGGGGAGGACCAGUGGCGAAGGCGUCACGCUAGAACGGCUCUGACAGUGAGGGACGAAGCCCUGGGGCGCAAACCGG
rnacentral:rRNA from 1 species